GUCCUACGGGAGGCAGCAGUGGGGGAUAUUGGACAAUGGGGGAAACCCUGAUCCAGCGAUGCCGCGUGAGGGAAGAAGGUACAGCGUAUCGUAAACCUCUUUUGUCAGGGAACAAAGGCGGGGACUAGUCCCCGGAUGAGGGUACCUGAAGAAAAAGCAUCGGCUAACUCCGUGCCAGCAGCCGCGGUAAUACGGAGGAUGCGAGCGUUAUCCGGAUUUAUUGGGUUUAAAGGGUGCGCAGGCGGCCUGUUAAGUCAGCGGUAAAAGCCCGGGGCUCAACCCCGGCGAGCCGUUGAAACUGGCGG
rnacentral:rRNA from 1 species